GUCUACGGCCAUACCACUCUGAACGUCCCCGAUCUCAUCUGAUCUCGGAAGGUAGCAGGGUUGGGCCUGGUUAGUACUUGGAUAGGAGACA
rnacentral:rRNA from 1 species